CCUACGGGUGGCAGCAGUGGGGAAUAUUGCACAAUGGGGGAAACCCUGAUGCAGCGACGCCGCGUGAAGGACGAAGUUGUUCGGCAUGUAAAGCUCUUUCAGUAGGGAAGAAAAUGACGGUACCUGAGUAAGAAGCACCGGCUAACUACGUGACAGCAGCCGCGGUAAUACGUAGGGGGCAAGCGUUAUCCGGAAUUACUGGGCGUAAAGGGCGCGUAGCCGGGAGUGCAAGUCUGUAGUGAAAGGCGGGGGCUUAACCCCCGGACUGCACUGGAAACUGUAAGGCUGGAGUGGAGGAGAGGUAGGUGGAAUUCCGAGUGUAGCGGUGAAAUGCGUAGAUAUUAGGAGGAACACCAGUUGCGAAGGCGGCUUACUGGAAUCUAACUGACGCUGAGGCACGAAAGCGUGGGGAGCAAACAGGAUUAGAUACCCGUGUAGUC
rnacentral:rRNA from 1 species